rnacentral:rRNA from 1 species
AGAGUAUCCUAAGGCCCGCGAGAGAACUGUUGUUAAGGAACUCGGCAAAAUGACCCCGUAACUUAGGGAUAAGGGGUGCCACCAGCCGGUGGCCGCAGAGAAUAGGCCCAAGCGACUGUUUACCAAAGACAUAGGUUUCUGCUAAGUCGCAAGACGAUGUAUAGGAGCUGACGCCUGCCCGGUGCUGGAAGGUUAAGGGGAUCUGUUAGAGC